CNCCGCGGGUAUUCCAGCUCCAAUAGCGUAUGUUCAAGUUGCUGCAUUUAAAAAGCUCGUAGUUGUAAACUGGGACAGAGCCUUCUUAACCCUAUCAAUUUGGGUUAUAAAGGAUGGAACGAGUUCUCUUAAAUGGUUUGAAUUAACGAAUAUCUCUAAUCUCAUUCUUUGGGUAUUAGAAUAUUUGUAUAAAUUGUAUCAUCAUAUUACCUUGAAGAAAUCAAAGCGCCUAAAGCAGGUAUUAGGCUAGAAUGAAUUAGCAUGGGAUAAUGUAAAAAGACUUUGAUCUUGAUUUGUUGGUUUCUACAAGCAAUGUACAUGAUUAAUAGGGAUAGUUGGGGCCACUUGUAUUGAACCGUCAGAGGUGAAAUUCUAGGACCGGUUCAAGACAAACUACUGCGAAAGCAUCUGGCAAGGAUGUUUUCAUUAAUCAAGAACGAAAGUUGCGGGCGCGAAGAUGAUCAGAUACCGUCGUAGUCGCAACUAUAAACUUUGUCGCCCAAGGGGUAGUGGUAGUUACAUGAUGACACCCCUAUAACUUUGUGAGAAAUCACAAGGAUUUGGACUCUGGGGGAAGUAUGGUCGCAAGGCUGAAACUUAAAGGAAUUGACGGAAGGGCACCACCAGGAGUGGAACCUGCGGCGACUCAACACGGGGAAACUUACCAGGUCCAGACACAAUAAGGAUUGACAGAUUGAUAGCUCUUUCUUGAUUCUGUGGAAAGUGGUGCAUGGCCGUUUUUAGUUGGUGGAUUGAUUUGUCUGGUUAAUUCCGUUAACGAACGAGACCUAAACCUACUAACUAGUUAAUGGUAACUUGGACUCUAAAUAGAGACCUCAUAUUUAUCCAAACUUCUUAGAGGGACUCUUUAUACUUAGUGAAUGGAAGUUUUAGGCAACAACAGGUCUGUGAUGCCCUUAGAUGUUCUGGGCCGCACGCGCGUUACAAUGAAAUGCUCAAUGAGCAAUAUCCCUUGCCCGUCGGGGCUUGGGAACCUGUGUAAAGUUUUUCAAGAUUGGGAUAGGUCAUUGUAAUUAUUGACCUUAAACGAGGAAUUCCUAG
rnacentral:rRNA from 1 species